GCCCUUAGAGUUUGAUCCUGGCUCAGAACGAACGCUGGCGGCACGCCUAACACAUGCAAGUCGAACGCUCUCUUCGGAGAGAGUGGCAGACGGGUGAGUAACGCGUGGGAAUCUACCCAGUACUACGGAACAACAGUUAGAAAUGACUGCUAAUACCGUAUACGCCCUCCGGGGGAAAGAUUUAUCGGUAUUGGAUGAGCCCGCGUUUGAUUAGCUAGUUGGUGAGGUAAUGGCUCACCAAGGCGACGAUCAAUAGCUGGUCUGAGAGGAUGAUCAGCCACACUGGGACUGAGACACGGCCCAGACUCCUACGGGAGGCAGCAGUGGGGAAUAUUGGACAAUGGGCGAAAGCCUGAUCCAGCCAUGCCGCGUGUGUGAUGAAGGCCCUAGGGUUGUAAAGCACUUUCAACGGUGAAGAUAAUGACGGUAACCGUAGAAGAAGCUCCGGCUAACUUCGUGCCAGCAGCCGCGGUAAUAAGGGCG
rnacentral:rRNA from 1 species